UGGUGGCGACCGGCGCACGGGUGAGUAACGCGUAUGCAACCCAUCUAUCAGAGGGGAAUAACCCGGCGAAAGUCGGACUAAUACCGCAUAAAACAGGGACACCGCAUGGUGAUAUUUGUUAAAGAAAUUCGCUGAUAGAUGGGCAUGCGUUCCAUUAGGUAGUUGGUGAGGUAACGGCUCACCAAGCCGACGAUGGAUAGGGGAACUGAGAGGUUGGUCCCCCACACUGGUACUGAGACACGGACCAGACUCCUACGGGAGGCAGCAGUGAGGAAUAUUGGUCAAUGGGCGAGAGCCUGAACCAGCCGAGUCGCGUGAAGGAAGAAGGAUCUAUGGUUCGUAAACUUCUUUUGCAGGGGAAUAAAGUGCAGGACGUGUCCUGUUUUGUAUGUACCCUGAGAAUAAGGAUCGGCUAACUCCGUGCCAGCAGCCGCGGUAAUACGGAGGAUCCGAGCGUUAUCCGGAUUUAUUGGGUUUAAAGGGUGCGUAGGUGGUUUGAUAAGUCAGCGGUGAAAGUUUGCAGCUUAACUGUAAAAAUGCCGUUGAAACUGUCGGACUUGAGUGUAAAUGAGGUAGGCGGAAUGCGUGGUGUAGCGGUGAAAUGCUUAGAUAUCACGAAGAACUCCGA
rnacentral:rRNA from 1 species